rnacentral:rRNA from 1 species
GUGUCAGCAGCCGCGGUAAGACGUAGGAGGCGAGCGUUAUCCGGAUUCACUGGGCGUAAAGCGCAUGUAGGCGGUUGGAUAAGUCUGUUGUUAAAGCCCCCGGCUCAACUGGGGGAGGUCAAUGGAGACUGUCCGACUUGAGGGCAACAGAGGCACAUGGAACUCCCGGUGUAGCGGUGGAAUGCGUAGAGAUCGGGAAGAACACCCGUGGCGAAGGCGGUGUGCUGGGUUGCAACUGACGCUGAGAUGCGAAAGUGUGGGUAGCAAACGGGAUUAGAUACCCCUGUAGUCC